GAUGAACGCUGGCGGCGUGCUUAAUACAUGCAAGUCGAACGAAGAGCCUUUGUAGCAAUACGAGGGUUUCUUAGUGGCGAACGGGUGCGUAACGCGUUGGUGACCUGCCCCAAAGUGUGGGAUAACAGUUCGAAAGGAUUGCUAAUACCUCAUGUGAUCACCGGGUUUAGAAGCCGAUGAUUAAAGCAGUAAUGCGCUUUGGGAGGGACCUGCGUCCCAUCAGCUAGUUGGUGAGGUAACGGCCCACCAAGGCUACGACGGGUAGGGGACCUGAGAGGGUGGUCCCCCACACUGGCACUGAAACACGGGCCAGACACCUACGGGUGGCAGCAGUAGGGAAUAUUGGGCAAUGGGCGAAAGCCUGACCCAGCAACGCCGCGUGCAUGAUGAAGGUCUUCGGAUCGUAAAAUGCUUUUCUGAGAGAUGAGAAAGGACAGUAUCUCAGGAAUAAGUCUCGGCUAACUACGUGCCAGCCGCCGCUGUAACAC
rnacentral:rRNA from 1 species